rnacentral:rRNA from 1 species
GAGCAGGGUCGAAAGACGGACUUAGUGAUCCGGUGGUUCCGCAUGGAAGGGCCAUCGCUCAACGGAUAAAAGCUACCCCGGGGAUAACAGGCUUAUCUCCCCCAAGAGUUCACAUCGACGGGGAGGUUUGGCACCUCGAUGUCGGCUCAUCGCAUCCUGGGGCUGUAGUCGGUCCCAAGGGUUGGGCUGUUCGCCCAUUAAAGCGGUACGCGAGCUGGGUUCAGAACGUCGUGAGACAGUUCGGUCCCUAUCCGUCGUGGGCGUAGGAAAUUUGAGAGGAGCUGUCCUUAGUACGAGAGGACCGGGAUGGACAUACCUCUGGUGUACCAGUUGUCGUGCCAACGGCAUAGCUGGGUAGCUAUGUGUGGACGGGAUAAGUGCUGAAAGCAUCUAAGCAUGAAGCCCCCCUCAAGAUGAGAUUUCCCAACUUCGGUUAUAAGAUCCCUCAAAGAUGAUGAGGUUAAUAGGUUCGAGGUGGAAGCAUGGUGACAUGUGGAGCUGACGAAUACUAAUCGAUCGA